rnacentral:rRNA from 1 species
AUGCCAUUUCAUAUAGUGGUUUUAAUGCCAUUCCUUGUCACGCACAACUCCACAACUAUGAUAAAAAGAUAUGUGAUGCAUGACAUGCACAAACUCCACCCCGGUGCUAUUCCUUGUCACACACGAAUGGCCAUUAGAGUGGAUCUUAAUCUAGUUUACCAGGAACCUAACAAAUCAACGGCUGAAGCAUUGAUUUUGAUUGAUCGAUCGUUACCUUUGAUCUUUUUUCUAUAUAUGAUACCUAAAGUCCAGGUUAUCUUGAACCUUAUUCAUCUUCGUUUUUCACUUAUCGAAAACAUUGUAAGCCUGACUGCUGUGUGUUAA